rnacentral:rRNA from 1 species
UACGUAGGGGGCGAGCGUUGUCCGGAUUUAUUGGGCGUAAAGAGCUCGUAGGCGGUUUGGUAAGUCGGGUGUGAAAUCUCCACGCUCAACGUGGAGGGGCCACUCGAUACUGCCAUGACUCGAGUCCGGUAGAGGAGUGUGGAAUUCCCGGUGUAGCGGUGAAAUGCGCAGAUAUCGGGAGGAACACCCGUAGCGAAGGCGGCACUCUGGGCCGGAACUGACGCUGAGGAGCGAAAGCCAGGGGAGCGAACGGG